rnacentral:rRNA from 1 species
GAUGAACGCUAGCUACAGGCUUAACACAUGCAAGUCGAGGGGAAACGAUAUUGAAAGCUUGCUUCCGAUAGGCGUCGACCGGCGCACGGGUGAGUAACGCGUAUCCAACCUGCCCACCACUUGGGGAUAACCUUGCGAAAGUAAGACUAAUACCCAAUGAUAUCUCAAGAAGACAUCUGAAUGAGAUUAAAGAUUUAUCGGUGAUGGAUGGGGAUGCGUCUGAUUAGCUUGUUGGCGGGGUAACGGCCCACCAAGGCGACGAUCAGUAGGGGUUCUGAGAGGAAGGCCCCCCACAUUGGAACUGAGACACGGUCCAAGCUCCUACGGGAGGCAGCAGUGAGGAAUAUUGGUCAAUGGGCGAGAGCCUGAACCAGCCAAGUAGCGUGCAGGAUGACGGCCCUAUGGGUUGUAAACUGCUUUUAUAAGGGAAUAAAGUGAGCCUCGUGAGGCUUUUUGCAUGUACCUUAUGAAUAAGGACCGGCUAAUUCCGUGCCAGCCGCCGCAGUAA